rnacentral:rRNA from 1 species
UACGGGGGGGGCAAGCGUUGUUCGGAAUUACUGGGCGUAAAGGGCUCGUAGGUGGCCAACUAAGUCAUACGUGAAAUCCCUCGGCUUAACCGGGGAACUGCGCCUGAUACUGGUUGGCUUGAGUUUGGGAGAGGGACGCGGAAUUCCAGGUGUAGCGGUGAAAUGCGUAGAUAUCUGGAGGAAUACCGGUGGCGAAGGCGGCAUCCUGGACCGGCAUUGACGCUGAGGAGCGAAAGCCAGGGGAGCAAACGGG